rnacentral:rRNA from 1 species
GAUGAACGCUGGCGGCGUGCCUAAUACAUGCAAGUCGAGCGAACGGACGAGAAGCUUGCUUCUCUGAUGUUAGCGGCUGACGGGUGAGUAACACGUGGAUAACCUACCUAUAAUACUGGGAUAACUUCGUGAAACCGGAGCUAAUACCGGAUAAUAUUUUGAACCUCUUUGUUCAAUAUUGAAAGUCGUUCUUGCUGUCUCUUAUAUAUUGUUCCGCGCUGCAUUAGAUAUUUGGUAAGGUAACGGCUUACCAAGGCAACGAUGCAUAGCCGACCUGAGAGGGGGAUCGGAAACACUGGAAAUGAGACACGGACAAGACUCCUACGGGAGGCAGCAGAAGGGAAUAUUCCGCAAUGGGCGAAAGCAUGACGGAGCAAAGACGAGUGAGUGAUGAAGGAAUUAGGAUCGUAAAACUCUGUUAUUAGGGAAGAAAAAAUGUGUAAGAAAAUGUGCACAUAAUGACGGUAACUAAACAGAAAGCAACGGCUAACUACGUG